rnacentral:lncRNA from 1 species
UUUGGCUGCCCAGGCUCGCCUCGACUCCAAAUGGUUGAAAACAGAUAUACAGCUUGCAUUCACAAGAGAUGGGCUCUGUGGUCUGUGGAAUGAAAUGGUUAAAGAUGGAGAAAUUGUAUACACUGGAACAGAAUCAACCCAGAACGGAUAGCUCCCUCCUGGAAAAGCUUUUGUGUGGUCCUCUGAGCCCCAGUGAGAGUUUCCUGAGGUACCUCACCCUUCCACAAGACAACAGGCUUGCCAUUGAUC